rnacentral:lncRNA from 1 species
CUUGUGUUUGAGGAGUACAAAUUUUUGGGCUAAUUGGUUCGUUGCAGUAAUUGAGAUCAUAGCGCUGAAUUGACAUCGACA